UAGCUGUGCGUUGAGCACAUAGCGAACUAUUCUUUCGCCUUUUACUAAAAAAUACGUGUGUUCGUUGCUAUUCAAGCAGUAUACUUCUCUUUAUUUCAAAUCUAAAACUUUUUAUAC